AGGGAGGGCAACAAGACGAGCGCGAGGAACCAACGGGGGGACACGAGCGCUCCAGUCUCAGCGAACACAAUUAGAGAAGUGUUGUUGAACGUGGGCUAUGCGCGCAAGGGGGGAGCGCUGUGUACAGAGGAGGUGAAUACAUGUAGAGAGGCUCAGAUUCAGAUUCACAGCCUCCUUCUUGAAGAGUCACUGCGUUGAAAAGAGGAAAGGAGUGAGGGCAAAGAGGAACUCUUGCAGAGAACUACGUGAGUACAGCCUACAUUCUUCAAAAACAAAACAAAAAAGUAAAUAAAAGAAAGGGGCGAGUAGACUUUACUUAAAAG